rnacentral:rRNA from 1 species
GGACUACCAGGGUAUCUAAUCCUGUUCGCUCCCCACGCUUUCGCGCCUCAGUGUCAGUAUCGGGCCAGGAAGUCGCCUUCGCCACUGGUGUUCCUUCCGAUAUCUACGCAUUUCACCGCUACACCGGAAAUUCCACUUCCCUCUCCCAAACUCUAGCUAUCCAGUACUAUAGGCAAUUCCUAGGUUAAGCCCAGGGAUUUCACCUCUAACUUAAAUAACCACCUACGCGCCCUUUACGCCCAGUAAUUCCGAUUAACGCUCGCACCCUCUGUAUUACCGCGGCGGCUGGCAC